GGUUGUGGCUCAGCGGUAGAGCGCUCGUCUCGAACCCACGGGACCCUGGGUUCGAUCCUCAGCACCA
rnacentral:tRNA from 1 species